UACGUAGGUCACAAGCGUUAUCCGGAAUUAUUGGGCGUAAAGAGUGAGCAGGCGGCGUGGUAAGUCUGAGGUGAAAGCGUGGGGCUCAACCCCAUAUAGCCUUGGAAACUGCCAAGCUAGAGUGCGCGAGAGGUAAACGGAACUCCAUGUGUAGCGGUGAAAUGCGUAGAUAUAUGGAAGAACACCAGUGGCGAAGGCGGUUUACCAGCACUGCACUGACGCUCAGUCACGAAAGCGUGGGGAGCAAAUA
rnacentral:rRNA from 1 species